GCCAAAAACCUAGCCCAACAAACAUGAAUUCCUCCAAGCUAACUAAACCCUCUUAACAAACCAUUUUGACAUUCUAGUAAAGGAGAUUGAAAAACUUAUUGGAGCUUUAAAGGUAGUACCGCAAGGGAAUGGUGAAAUAUUAUGAAAACUUCUAAGCAACAAAAAGUAAAGAUUACCUCUUGUACCUUUCGCAUCAUGGUUUAACUAGUUCAAUCAAGCAAAGAGUAUUUAAGUUUGACUUCCCGAAACUAAGUGAGCUACUUCAGGGCAGCUAGAAGAGCGAACCCGUCUCUGUAGCAAAAGAGUGGGACGACCCUUAAGUAGUGGUGACAGACCUAACGAACUUAGUGAUAGCUGGUUACUCAGGAAACGGAUUUAAGUCCAACCUGAAGGCCCUAAAAUCAAGUACAUCAAAACAAUCAUUUGGCUUUCAACGUAAUUCAAAUAAGGUACAGCCUAUUUGAAACAGGAUACAACCUAGACCAAUGGAUAAGAUCAGCCUAGCAUACAAUCAAGUGGGCCUAAAAGCAGCCACCUUAAGUAGAGCGUCAAAGCUAAUUUGUAGCCGCGCCAAAUCUCUCAAUCUUCAUCUAAUCCUCAACCAAUACUGAGUAAUUCUAUAGCAUUAUAGAAAUUUUUAUGUUAAAACUAGUAACAAGAAGAAGACUCUUCUCUUAAAUGUGUGUGUAGAUCAGAAAAGACAAGCUACUGAUACUUAACACCCUUGAGCUCAAAGUAACAACUAACCAAGAAAACUCUACUUUCAUUAGUGUUAAUCUAACACAAGAACAUUCCGAGAAAGAUUAAAAGAAAAAGAAGGAACUCGGCAAAUAUUAACCUCGCCUGUUUACCAAAAACAUCGCCUCUUGAAUUACUAUGAGAGGUCCAGCCUGCCCAGUGACCCUGUUCAACGGCCGCGGUAUCCNAACCGUGCGAAGGUAGCGGAAUCACUUUUUCUCUGAAUGCGGACUAGUAUGAAAGGCAUCACGAAGG
rnacentral:rRNA from 1 species